GUUCUGGGUUUUGUUUGAUCUGCUGUGAGAAAUAACGAAGCUGCCCGGGAGAGUUACUUGCAAUUAUUGUAAGUCUGUUUGAGAGCAGUUCCGUGACCGUCAGGAGUUUUUGACUAGUCAUACCUUAGUGUCAAUAGACCUCACACCGCCGCGGGGACAGAAACCAAGUUUGAUUCGAAAGCAUUUGGAGAACUGCCUGGCCUCUCACAUAGAUUCAGAAGGGUGAAAGCAACAACAGCACCGGCAGCGGCACUGUUUGAGAGAGGAGCAGGCUGCGGAAGAUGAAUGCUCCAUCUGGGAUACAGGAUUUUAAUUAGAGUGAUUGUGCUCAGAUCGCCCUCAUUCAUUCAUCAGC